rnacentral:rRNA from 1 species
GGCGCUGAAGCGUCAUGCUUAUACUCAACCGUCGGGGCAGUUGAGAUGUUCGUUCUGCGUACGCGUGGUCGAUCAUCGUGAGGCCCCGACGAGUAGGAGGGUCGCGGCGGUGAGCGCAGAAGGACUGGGCGUGGGCCCGUCUGGAGCCGCCGUCGGUGCAGAUCUUGGUGGUAGUAGCAAAUACUCCAGCGAGGCCCUGGAGGACUGACGUGGAGAAGGGUUUCGUGUGAACAGCCGUUGCACACGAGUCAGUCGAUCCUAAGCCCUAGGAGAAAUCCGAUGUUGAUGUGGUGUGUUUCAAUUAUUAUUGCGCAUUGCGAUUGAUGUCUAAGUUAGUUUACUUGUGGAUAACCUCUGCUCUACUUCUAUGAAAGUAACAGUGUACACUUCGUAUUUGCUUUGAUGUUACAUUGCGAACAAACAAUAUACUGGUAUCACACCCAUUGGGCGAAAGGGAAUCCGGUUCCUAUUCCGGAACCCGGCAGCGGAACCGUUAAUAAGUCGGGCCCUCGUAAGAGAGUUCGUCGGGGCAACCCAACAUGACCUGGAGACGCCGUCGGGAGAUCCGGGAAGAGUUUUCUUUUCUGUAUGAGCGUUCGAGUUCCCUGGAAUCCUCUAGCAGGGAGAUAGGGUUUGGAACGCGAAGAGCACCGCAGUUGCGGCGGUGUCCGGAUCGUCCCCUCGGACCUUGAAAAUCCAGGAGAGGGCCACGUGGAGGUGUCGCGCCGGUUCGUACCCAUAUCCGCAGCAGUUCCAAGGAGGC